UGUGAAUCUGCUGACAUCUACAUUCUUGUCUGUUUCAUAUAAAGAAAAUAAUGGUGUGGAGAGAAAUGUAUACAUAACAUGAAAUUAUCAAGUGACAAAUAUUAUACAGGGAUGGGCAGUAUUUAUGAUACAGGCGUCUACGUGAUGACAUCAUGAGAGAGAAAAACGACGGCGCCGCACUGAUAUCCAUUGUCCAGAACUUGCCCAGAUCACAUCAGCAUAAAGGCUAAUUAAAGCGCGGAAGCACAUGUAUGGAAGAGAAGGAGUACUGUUCCAGAGUCCUUUAACAAUAACAUCUACAUAGAUGCCAUCUGUGUUUCGAGGGUCGUUCCUAAUAAGUUUAAAGUGAGGAAUAAAAUUUUCGCAGGAUUCGAGUCAUCCGUCUUCUGGUGGGUCACAUUAAUAAGAAUGUGGACUGGAUCAACUAUAUAUGCUACAAUCUGCAAAGAUUCAUAAAUUUCACCAGAGACGGUCUUAAAGGUACAGCCAAACAACUGGAUGCCACAAGCCUCAGGGCAUAGCAAAAUAGAUUAGCUUUAGAUAUGCUUCUGACAAAAAAAGUAGGUGUGACGUUUGGCACUGCCUGCUGUAAUUCCAUUCCAAUUAACACUGGCCCAAAUGGCUCACUUACCAGAGCCAUUGAUGAACUUACAGCAUUAGCUAAUGAACUUGCAAAAAAUUCAGGCAAAGGUGACCCGUUGACAAACUUUUUUGAAACAUGGUUCAGAAAGUGGAAAGGACUGAUCCUCUCUGGCUGGGUAGCAGCAAUUGUGGUAAUUGGUGUUCUGAUUCUCUGUAGAUGCUGUGUUAUUCCAUAUGCACGAUGUCUAAUUACCAAGUUGCUGACAAAGGAGAGACAAUAUCAGUUGACUAGAAUGGAGCAGGAUGGGUCAGCAGAACUGAGACUCGCCAUCAGCAAUGAUGAUAAUUCUACCUUACACUUGCCUCCUAAUGCAGAAUCCAAUGAAUAUGAUUCAAAGUUGGAUGCUGGAAAAUAAUAGAUUAAUUGUGUUUGUGUAGCUUUGCUAUGUACAUGUCUAAUAUAUUGUUGUGAGCCAAAGGCAUGCACGAGAUGUUAUCAGACACUGGCAUGUACGGGAUUGAGUUACAGGACUCUACAUACCUGAUACCGGUUCUCUUAAUACUGGUUCUCAGCAAAUAAAUAGAAAUAAAUAUAUCAAUACACCACGACCAAUUAUGAACUUAUCCGUCAUUAGACAGAAGGAUAUAGAAAGUGCAAAGAAAAGAAGAAACAGGGAAAGAAAAGAGAAACGUAAGGUGAAUAAACAAAUAAAGAUUGAUGUAAAAAUACAAAAGGUUGAAGAAUUGAUUGAAGAGUUGAAAGAUUUGAAUAUGAGUGUUUAGAGGAAGACACUGAGGGAUCAGACGCUGUACCUAGACAGCUGGAAGAAGAUUCCAAAAGAAAAGAAGACUAUAAUGCAUUGUGUGUUAUGAUGUUUUAUUUUCAGAAUGUUCAAGAAAAAUUCUGAAAUGCUUUUCUUUUUCUUAUAAUCAUGUAUUCUCAUGUAAUAGAGUUGAUUAGAUUAAUAUUGUUUAUUUUACUGUAAACUUUCUUGUAGUAAACACUUAUAAAGCUUACUGUGUAUUACCACUAGGGAGUAUCCGCACGCAAAGUGUUUCAAGGCCUGCUGUUGAAAUGAAGCUUUCUGUGUAUCUGUGGGUAGUGACCUGCACGUGUAGUGUUUUAUAGCUCACUAUCAAAUUCUAUGGUGGGAGAAAGCUUCAGUUCUAUAUAAUCACAGCCUGAGAAGUCGCAGGAAGUAUGACCAUAUAUAGACAUUAGCAGCGCACACAGAGUCACUGGCGAGAUAUGUUUGGGAAACCGAGAAGUGUUUAUGAAAUAAGAUGGUAGCCGUCUAAAAGGCACAAAGCCAAUCAAACUGGCCACAGUAAAAAAGUAUAAAAGCCCGCCUUGAAUCACAUUGUGUGUGCAUUCUAUUGUAGACAGCCUUAGGGCAUGUUAUACUUUAGGUGUAUCAUGGAACAAACGCAAGUUUACACUUGGAGAGUGUUUCUUGGUUUGUUAUAAUCUUUGCAUAUUAAUACUUUCUACUUAUUCUAGUACUGUUUGAUUAUUUGAAGGAAGAUUUUAUUUGUAAAUUUCUUUUUAUUUUACAUAUAUUACACACACCUAUCUGUAUUACACUACUUUUAAUAAAAACAAGGCCUCCCAUUGUGAGGAUCCUGAAAAGACAAAAAGGUAUAAGUCUGCCUCCUUCACUUAAAGAUUCAAACAAUAGAUUAAGUAGAAGACCUUGGAGAGGAGCCUUUGU